rnacentral:rRNA from 1 species
AUUCCAGCUCCAAUAGCGUAUAUUAAAGUUGUUGCAGUUAAAAAGCUCGUAGUUGGAUUUCUGGCUGGAGCGAUCGGUCCGCCCCGCAAGGGGUGUGUACUAGCGUCGUCUCCGACCAUCCUUGUGGGAACUGUGCGGCCGUUAACUCGGUUGUAUAUGGGAACACAUCGUUUACUGUGAAAAAAUUAGAGUGUUUAAAGCAGGCUUAAGCCGUUGAAUACAUUAGCAUGGAAUAAUAAGAUAAGACUUGGGUCAUUGUUUUGUUGGUUUGCGGAUCGAGGUAAUGAUUAAUAGGGAUAGUUGGGGGUAUUCAUAUUUAAUUGUCAGAGGUGAAAUUCUUGGAUUUAUGAAAGAUGAACUUAGGCGAAAGCAUUUACCAAGGAUGUUUUCAUCA